AGUGAACGUUGGCGGCGUGGAUUAGGCAUGCAAGUCGCGCGGAAAGGCUCCUUCGGGAGCACUCGAGCGGCGAAAGGGAGAGUAAUGCGUAGAUUACCUACCUCCAGGCCCGGGAUAGCCGGGGGAAACCCCGGGUAAUACCGGAUAAUGUCUCCGGACCAAAGGUGUGAUUCCGCCUGGAGACGGGUCUGCGUCCUAUCAGCUAGUUGGUGAGGUAACGGCUCACCAAGGCAUCGACGGGUACGAGGCGUGAGAGCGUGUCCUCGCUCACUGGGACUGAGACACUGCCCAGACACCUACGGGUGGCUGCAGUCGAGAAUCUUCGGCAAUGGGCGCAAGCCUGACCGAGCGACGCCGCGUGCGGGAUGAAGGCCUUCGGGUUGUAAACCGCUGUCAGAGGGGAAGAAAUGCCAAGGGGUUCUCUUCUUGGUUUGACUGAUCCUCAGAGGAAGUACGGGCUAAGUUCGUGCCAGCAGCCGCGGUAACAC
rnacentral:rRNA from 1 species